UACGUAGGGUGCAAGCGUUAAUCGGAAUUACUGGGCGUAAAGCGUGCGCAGGCGGCUUUGCAAGACAGAUGUGAAAUCCCCGGGCUUAACCUGGGAACUGCAUUUGUGACUGCAUGGCUGGAGUGCGGCAGAGGGGGAUGGAAUUCCGCGUGUAGCAGUGAAAUGCGUAGAUAUGCGGAGGAACACCGAUGGCGAAGGCAAUCCCCUGGGCCUGCACUGACGCUCAUGCACGAAAGCGUGGGGAGCGAA
rnacentral:rRNA from 1 species